GACCCCUCUCCGAUUCCGCGGCCCGACCCAGCCGCGACUCAUGCGCUUGCACUCCACACCGACUCGCUGCAGAUCCGCCGCCGCCGCCCAUGCUCCACCGCCGCCGCCUCAUCCUUUGCUCCACCCCCACCCCCAUCGCCGCCACCGCCGCCGCCCAUGCUCGAACGCCGCCUCCUGCGAACUCCCGCCCUUGACAGCCACAGAAAAUCGCAGCGGAUCCGACACCGUUGCGACCUCCCGUGGUCCAACACCGCCGCUGCCGCCGUCACAGGUCUCCGCUGAGUUGGUUGAAGCUGACGUCAAGGACGAUGAUGCUCCUGUACGACACCAAUUCCAUCGGUAGGCUGCCGGACAGCAAAUUGUAGGAUAGAUUGAGGCGUAACAGGCCAGUGAGAUUUGUCAGAAGUGGGAGAGGCCAAGAAGAGGAGCAGCAGAAGAGCAAGGCCAAGGGGAAAUCCGAGCGAAGCUUGCAAAUUUGUCAGAAGUGCAAUUAUAAUCCAACUCUUUUCACUAUUUUAUUUGCAUUUCAGUAAUCAGCUUUUCUAAUUUUUACUUCGGUGCAGCAAAGUCUAGUUACAACCAGAAAAUUGUGUAUGAACAGUUCUAUCAAUUUAUCGUGUACUUCAAUUCACAAA